rnacentral:rRNA from 1 species
UACGGAGGGCGCAAGCGUUGUUCGGAAUCACUGGGCGUAAAGCGCGUGUAGGCGGCCGGGCAAGUCUGAUGUGAAAUCCCGAGGCUCAACCUCGGAACUGCACUCGAAACUGCUCGGCUCGAGUCUCGGAGAGGAUGGCGGAAUUCCCGGUGUAGGGGUGAAAUCCGUAGAUAUCGGGAGGAACACGAGCGGCGAAGGCGGCCAUCUGGACGGUGACUGACGCUGAGAAGCGAAAGCGUGGGGAGCAAACAGG